rnacentral:rRNA from 1 species
ACGGAGGGUGCAAGCGUUGUUCGGAAUUACUGGGCGUAAAGGGCGCGUCUUCUCCUUGAUAAGUCAGAUGUGAAAGCCCACGGCUUAACUGUGGAAGUGCAUUUGAAACUGUCAGACUUGAGUACCAGAGGGGAAAGUGGAAUUCCCGGUGUAGAGGUGAAAUUCGUAGAUAUCGGGAGGAAUACCGGUGGCGAAGGCGACUUUCUGGCGGGAUACUGACGCUGAGGCGCGAAAGCGUGGGGAGCAAACAG